CUGAACGUGUAACAUCAAGUCGGAAUCAAAUUUAUUAUUACGUUUUCAUUGUGAAAAUGCUGUUUUUUGGGUUUGUUUUCCUUAUCCCCAUCAUUUUGGUACAGGGUGAGACGGCAUCUCCGAAUCCUACCAAUGGUCUUCAGGCCAUAUUUGACAAAAUUUCUAAAUACGUUGUGGAAAUGGAGACCAUCGCUCUGUGCUUUUUGGUUGGGAUUAUCAUUUUAAUACUUUCCCUUAGUUUCGUGAUCGUUCGAACGUGGCAACUCACUUAACGUAACACUCGUUUGACGAAGGAGAUGGCGCGAGAGCUUAACCUACUGUAACAAGAUAUUGAUUAAAACCAACAUUUAAAGUUCAUAAAUUUUGGAUGAUAAAUAAAUUUUUACACCUGUUUAUAUAUA